rnacentral:rRNA from 1 species
GAGCGGAUGAAGGGAGCUUGCUCCUGGAUUCAGCGGCGGACGGGUGAGUAAUGCCUAGGAAUCUGCCUGGUAGUGGGGGAUAACGUCCGGAAACGGGCGCUAAUACCGCAUACGUCCUGAGGGAGAAAGUGGGGGAUCUUCGGACCUCACGCUAUCAGAUGAGCCUAGGUCGGAUUAGCUAGUUGGUGGGGUAAAGGCCUACCAAGGCGACGAUCCGUAACUGGUCUGAGAGGAUGAUCAUUCACACUGGAACUGAGACACGGUCCAGACUCCUACGGGAGGCAGCAGUGGGGAAUAUUGGACAAUGGGCGAAAGCCUGAUCCAGCCAUGCCGCGUGUGUGAAGAAGGUCUUCGGAUUGUAAAGCACUUUAAGUUGGGAGGAAGGGCAGUAAGUUAAUACCUUGCUGUUUUGACGUUACCAACAGAAUAAGCACCGGCUAACUUCGUGCCAGCAGCCGCGGUAAUACGAAGGGUGCAAGCGUUAAUCGGAAUUACUGGGCGUAAAGCGCGCGUAGGUGGUUCAGCAAGUUGGAUGUGAAAUCCCCGGGCUCAACCUGGGAACUGCAUCCAAAACUACUGAGCUAGAGUACGGUAGAGGGUGGUGGAAUUUCCUGUGUAGCGGUGAAAUGCGUAGAUAUAGGAAGGAACACCAGUGGCGAAGGCGACCACCUGGACUGAUACUGACACUGACGUGCGAAAGCGUGGGGAGCAAACAGGAUUAGAUACCCUGGUAGUCCACGCCGUAAACGAUGUCGACUAGCCGUUGGGAUCCUUGAGAUCUUAUUGGCGCAGCUAACGCGAUAAGUCGACCGCCUGGGGAGUACGGCCCGCAAGGUUAAAACUC